AGUCAAAUUCAUGGGCAAUUAAAUCUCCUCCUACAUUUCUGAUCAGGCCUCUGUUUCUCCAUUAUUUCUCACCUGCAAGGGCAUCUUCUUAAGGACAACUGUAUUGGGAGUCACAAAACGGACCGUGAAGUCCUUGACCAUAGGCACUCAGUUACCGUCUAAAGGUAGAAAACCUCAGAGAACGUACUUCAUGCUCUGGGUGAGAGGAUGCAGUCAGCAAGUACAUCUGGUGAGAGAAACAGAGACGCUUUCAUGGAGAUCGCACUAUUUGAGUUAGUCCUGAAUAUCGAGUAGGAUUGUAUACAACAGAUACGAGGGGUAUUUUGUUAGUUACAUGUCCGACUUCGGUCCCUGUUUGGAAUUUCUAUUUCACUGGCUCUUUAGAGAUACAAAACUCACAUUUUGUAUCUUAAGAAGAGAGGAUCGAUUCUUUGUGUGCAGUACUUUUCACAGAAUUUCUUUGUGUUGCCAAGCUUACCCAUAGAGCUGAAGCCUGUCAGAGCUUUAGUUCAAAUGUAUGAUUGAACUAAAUUACAACCCUUCACCUCUGCCCCUGGAGCCUUCUGCUACCCAAGGCUCCCAGUGGGGAUAGUCCGCCUUCUGUGAUUUAUUUACAGACCGAAUGAUAAACAAUCGCAAUUCCUAGGCUUAAACCAAUAGCAGGGGUCAGAAAUUACUUAAAUUUUGUGAUUUGCACUUAUAAAUGUCGUCUUCCAAAAACUGUUAUUUUUCUAACAUGCUUGAAUAUACUGAGCCAUAGGAAUUUUCUUAAAUGCAGGGAGGUAAUGAAAGUGCUUUAUAAACUGUUAAGUUCUAAUAUUGUUAUUAUUAGAGAUACUUGUUGUUAAAAUAUUGGCUGAUUUUAGAAAGUAAAGAGAUCUUUUAAUUGUGAAAUUAUUCUAAAGCAUGCAGAAGCAUUUUGGAAUAAUCUUUCCCUUUAGAACACUGUGUCUGGUUUUCAAAUUCCCUUGAUUUAUACUUUUAGCAUUGUGUAGAUUAGCAA
ensembl:lncRNA